UGGGUUUUCUAUCUAUAUUCAUAAUACAUUUCUUUAAAAACUAAUGUUCGGCCGGACGCGGUGGCUCACGCCUGUAAUCCCAGCACUUUGGGAGGCCGAGGCGGGCGAAUCACGAGGUCAGGAGAUUCAGACCAUCCUGGCUAACACAGUGAAACCCCGUCUCUACUAAAAGUACAAAACAUUAGCCGGGCAUAGUGGUGGGCACCUGUAGUCUCAGCUACUCAGGAGGCUGAGGCAGGAGAAUGGCGUGAACCCGGGAGGCAGAGUUUGCAGUGAGCCGAGAUUGCACCACUGCACUCCAGCCUGGGUGACAGAGCUAGACUCUGUCUCAAAAAAAAAAAAAGAAAAGAAAAGAAAAGAAAAGAAAAGAAAAAAAACUAAAGUUCAUAUGUAACAUCUCAUUAAAUAUCAGAUGUGUACAAAAUGCUGCAGUCCUAAGAUCCCAUCUGCCUUUUAGGGGGUGGUGAAGAGGGGUCAAGAGAAGCAUGUUAAACUCUAGUCUGUUUUCUAUUCAUACUAUAAUGCUUCCUUUAUAGCAAAUGAUGGUAAUCAGUUCAAAUAGCUUUUUCUUCACCCAAUUUUAGCCCUUUCACAUGGAAAUGAAAUAAUGACCUCUAGUGGAAUAAACUCAAUCUAGUACCCACUGUGAUUUAUUAUUACAUUUAAACUGUUACUAGACUGGCUUCACACUGCAAACAUCCUAGACACAAAAACUCUCAAAACAAAUUUUUUUUUUUUUUUUGAAACAGUCUCGCUCUGUCACUCAGGCUGAAGUGCAGUGGUGUGAUCUCAGCUCACUGCAACCUCUGCCUCCAGGGUUCAAGUGAUUCUCCUGCCUAAGCCUCCUGAGUAACUGAGAUUACAGGCACCCGCCACCACACCAAGCUAAUUUUUGUAUUUUCAGUAGACAGGGUUUCACCAUGUUACCCAGGCUGGUCUCGAACUCCUGACCUCAAGUGAUUCGCCCAUCUCGGCCUCCCAAAGUGCUGAGGUCACAGGCAUGAGCCACCAUGCCAGGACAAAACGUAAUUUUAGAUCUCUUAUGCUAAGUGGCCAUUUUCAUUUAAAUUUUAAAUUUAAGAGCCAGGUCUCACUAGGUUACCCAGGCUGCUUGCAAUCAUAGCACGCUACAGCUUCAAAUUCCCAGGCUAUAGCGAUCCUCUUGCCUUAGCCUCCCCAGUAGCAGGGACUACAAGUGUGCACCACGGCACUAAGCUCCAAUUUUUAUUUGUUAUCUGCUUCUGUCUAUAAGCUCCACGAGGACAGGAGCCAACUGUUUAUUUCCUACUCUUGCAGGGUUUUGUUUGACCCCUUCAACAAAUCUCUCCACUUGCUGCAUUACAGGGGUCUCUUGCCUUUUGCCUUCUACUUGGAUACAAGCAAUAGGAGCACCAACAGGUCAGAAGAUGGAAAAGAAUGAAAUCCAGUUAUUUAUUCCCCCAGCUUAUUAAUUAAUGAAAGGUAUAGGCCGGGGACGCACGGUGGCUAAACUUUUUUAAGGUAACGAUCUUUGCAGAAAAUUUCUUUACUUAAAA
rnacentral:lncRNA from 1 species